GAUGAAGAACGCAGCGAAAUGUGAUACUUGGUGUGAAUUGCAGAAUCCCGUGAACCAUCGAGUCUUUGAACGCAAGUUGCGCCCGAAGCCAUUAGGCCGAGGGCACGCCUGCCUGGGCGUCACACGUCGUUGCCCCCCCCAUCUACUCCUUCGGGAUUGCGGGGGGCGGAUGAUGGCCUCCCGUGCGCCUCGCCGCGCGGUUGGCAUAAAUGCCAAGUCCUCGGCGACGCACGCCACGACAAUCGGUGGUUGCGAAACCUCGGUUGCCCGUCGUGUGCGGUCGUCGCGCAUCGAGGGCUCGAAAAAAUUGCCGAGUUCCGGCUCGGCUUUCAACGCGACCCCAGGUCAGGCGGGGUUACCCGCUGAAUUUAAGCAUAUCAAUAAGCGGAGGA
rnacentral:misc_RNA from 1 species